UUACGUAGGCCUUCGUGAUCGUUUGGUCGUGUGGUAGGUAAGCGUCGGUGUUGCGGGCGAGUACUGGAGCAAAAGGUGGAGGUGCAGGCCGAGUAGAGUUUUCAUAGUGUGAAACCAUCUUAGUGUAGAGCUUAGAGUGCUGAGAGUUGAAAGCUUGCACGUGGGAAAUGUGCAGCCCGACCGCCACAUGUACUGAGAUUGAGUCGUGACGGCCACAGGCUCCGAGUUUUGGCGUGAGGAGAACGCUGAUCGGCCACGGGUGCCGCGCUUGCUGGCCUCUGGCAUGUGCCUGAACGGCGGCGGAAAAACCACACUUAAUUGGGGCAGAGGGUUAGUUUUAAGAGCAAGGGGCCUUUACUAAAAUGGCGAAGACCUUCCGUCGGCGUUGUUUUAAAACGGGCAGCCUCAACCCUGCAUUGAGACUGAGCUGUUCGAAGGCGGCGUUGUGUGCAAUUCGGAUUAAUGAAGGGGAAAGGUUUUGUGUGGAAAAACACCUUGGAGUGUGACGUUUCUGCGAGAAUACUUAAAUAUCGGUUUCCCGCAGGAACAAUGGCGCUGUCAUGGCCCAGCAGAGCAGCUCUGAAGAUGCAAAGAUACAUGAAAGAAUUCCAGAAUAUGCGGGAGAAUAUUUAAUGGAAAACCGCUUGGUUAAACCUGACACUCUUCAUGGGUAUGUGUUGUUUUAGUACUUUAUGAUAGAGCAUAGUAUUUAAUCCACACCUAGACUAAAUCAAAUUUUUUUGUCAUUAAACAGCAUUCUGGGUGUGGACGAUCAGCCAGUGAAGAUAAUGAAUGUCGGAUGUCACUGACUAGCAGCUUCAUUUUGAAUGAGGGUCGCUGUCUGCCCAUUGAUAAGAGGCCAGAUUGUCUUGGAAGUUCCAAAGUUGCAACGAUUUCUGGCUAGUGCCACGAGGUUUACUUGACUGUUGUAUGAAAAGCUGAUAAGAAAACCAUCCAGAAAAAAAGCUCUUCGUUUUACAAACACGAAAAUAAAACAUGUAAUUUUGGAUUA